GCGCAGGAGGAGCGAGGUCCGGCGGCCACUGCCCUGCUGCACAGACAGCCCCCACUCGCGAAGGAGGUUUUAAAAUCAAAGAUGGGAAAAUCGGAGAAAAUUGCCCUUCCCCACAGCCAGCUUGUGCAUGG